rnacentral:lncRNA from 1 species
GCAUUGACACAAUUUGAUUAUAAUUGUAAGGGAGAUUAAACUAAACUUCAUAAGGUCGUGGGUAUUUGUAUUUGAUACAACUCAUUUUAAUUAAUGGUGAGAGAUCCAAAUAUAAUUGUCACUAGCUAGAAUACUAGUCUUGUUAUAAAUUUCACUAAGAGAUUCAAAUUCCCUUCAGGGUCUUGGGCUUAAGCUAGCCUUUGUACCAACUGCUGUGCGACAGCAUUCUACACUAAUGAGAUAAGGCAACUGGGCUCAAACACAAGCCCAAGCGAGGCUGAAACAAACGAGUGAAUUCAUUAACUCAAUAGAGAGCCCAAUUCACUGUAAAUUUAUUAUUACAUAAGCAUCAAAAUAGACCUACAACUACUAAAAAAACUAAUACAGCUGUAGAUUAUCUAAAAUAUGACAUAUUCAUAUAAUAACCAUUCACUCCUUGUACAGCACACUACUAGUUAAUAUUACAACAGAAAUUUAAUGAACUAACAGGCAUGGUACUUUAAAUGCGAUGCAUUGCUGAUACGUAAUUUCAUACAAUAUCAAAAAUUGAUUCCAAGUUCAACACCCCCAUUACAUUAUUUGGAACCUAUCGAAUCGCAAAUUCAUAGAUUGAAUCAUGACUCCUCAAGGACACAAAUGCCCUGCCUUGCUUGGAUAAUAAGUAUGCACUAGAUAAAUAAGAUAUACAAUUCAGAUUCCAAAGGUAGAUGUGAGUCAAAUAUGAAACCAACUUCAAUCACAUCUAUGUAGAAUAAUAAAUAUAAAAAACAGGAAGCAUAUCUCAAUUCCCAUAUAAACAAGGGGAUAUUAACCCAUAUUACUGACCUCCUCCAACCUAUAUUUAAUAGCCUAAAGGCAAACUCAGACCAACUACACUUAAACCAGUCCAAUUACUGACCUCACAACAAACAAAUAGCAAAACUGGAUAUAGGUUAAGAGACCUAAAACUAAGCUACAUGCUACUCAGGGCUAAGUCUGUGAUUAUAUUGCUCAAGGUUGAGGAGACGGUACAUGGACCUCAUAAAAUAAACAAAACAAGCAAAUACACUAAUAUUAUCAAUCCAAAUGAAAGUGAAGAUGGCUCAAAACUUCAUAUUCCAUUUCCAUAACCAAAUCAAGCUUUCCGUUCAAAGGGAGGGCAUGAAUGUAUACCUGGGAAAGAAAAAAGCAAAAUGAAAGGUAGAGGAUCAACAGAGCAAAGCAAUAUCAGCAGGUUCAAGCAAUAGAAACCAACAGUAGCAACCAGAGAUCAGUCAAAAACCUAACAGAAUUGCAGUAUUCACACAACUUGAACCAUAAACUUUCAGAAAAAAACCAAUAUCAACCCAUACUUAAACUCAAAUCAACCAGAAAGUAUUUCACAGUCUGAAAAUUUUCAGAAAAAUCGGUCUAUAGAUUAAUAUAACAGUAGUGUCUCAAUUUUCUGUUGUUUUAGGAAUUUUUUCUUAUUUCGAGAUCCUCUUCUCUUUUCUCAUCUUCAAGUAAGAAUGCCUUUAUAGGCAAGUUACUAACGCAACUUCAGGUUUUGUUUUUUCCCUUUUAGACCUUUCUACAGUUUUCUUUUGCUAGUUAGUCCUUUAUUUUAUGACUUGCUACCCAAGUUACACUACCUAAAAGCUGAAAUUCAAAUUAACACCCUAACCUAGAAGCUUCUUAUUUCAAUUAUGCAGAGAUUCUCUAAGUGCAUUGCCCUAAGUACCCUUGAAAUUACUGAAAAUUAUUUUGAGAACCAAAUGAACAACAACCGGGCCUCUUUGAAUUGGGUCACAAAUGACUCAAAGGGCCCAAGCUAAUUUGAAAUCAGUCAUUUCUGAUCCAAGCCUUACCAACACCAAUUGACAAAAAACAGGUACUAAAUCUGACCAUUGAAUCAACACUUAAGGAAAUAACAGAUCACUAAUAGCAAAAUUAACAAAAUGGAAACAAGAUUACUGAUGAAUUCAUGCUCUUUAAUUUUACUAACUAGUAAGAUGAAACAAAGUAAAGAAACAAAAAGCACAUUAAGAACCAAAUCAUUCUGAUUCCACAACAAUGAGCCUACCUUUACUACCUAAACGAUUGAACUGAUUUAGCAAAUAAAAUCACAACCCAAAGGGACUCAAAAGUUCAGAUAGUUCAAUUCAAAAAGAAAAGAAAAUGGUCUGGUUCUUUCCAAAAUGCCUUAACCUACUCCGUCUACCCAGAGAAGGGGUGAGGAAGAAAAUGAGCCAGAAAAAAUCAAAAGAGGGGAGGAGAACUUACUCAAUCCGGCUCGAACAUGGUUGCCUAUAGCUUCAUGCAUGGAAUGUCCUGGCUUCAGAUUUUAAUUCGAGAAGCUACAGUGGUGUUCGAAGGACAUUGAUGAGGAAUUGGAAUGGGGGAGAUACGGGGAUCCUUUUUUGUUAAUUUGGGAUCGAUUGGUGGCGGUGCUGCCGUGUCCGGGAGAGGAGUAAAUACUUCUGGCCAAUAUUCGAGAGGUUUGGCUUGGCUUUGAGGGAAAGCGACUGUGGAUUUGGGAAGAUGAGAGGGAGGGGAAGCAGUGGUAUUAAAUUGGCGGUCAUCGGAGCUCCGCCGCUGGCGGAAGCGAUUUCCGACCGGUGGUUCAUGGCGAUGGAAGGCGGAGACGGCAGGGUUCUCUAGGGUUACAGGGUGAUGGUGAGAGACGAGGUUUGGGGGGUGGGGGGCAUUUGGACAUAUAUAUUCUCAAAACUCCUCAUUUCUCAGACGUUGGUCUUGAAUCCUAGAUGGUUGAGAUUUAAUCCAAUGAAACGGCGUCGUUUCAUUUUAAAGGUUGCUUGACCAGGUUUGGGUGUGUAACUGGGCUGGCCUGUUUGUUU